rnacentral:lncRNA from 1 species
CCGAAACUCCCGGCGGAUGGCCAGUGGCCCAAAGAAACGAAAGAAUCGGUUUUCCGGGAGAAGAAGCAAUGACGGUAUCUGGGGAAUAAGCAUCGGCUAACUCUGUGCCAGCAGCCGCGGUAAUACAGAGGAUGCAAGCGUUAUCCGGAAUGAUUGGGCGUAAAGCGUCUGUAGGUGGCUUUUUAAGUCCGUCGUCAAAUCCCAGGGCUCAACUCUAGACAGGAUUAGCAAAUAAAAGUGCUAAUGCUACAACCAGGCCAUAAAUUGUUAAAGCUUCCAUAAAAGCUAGACUAAGCAACAAAGUACCUCGUAUUUUUCCCUCCGCC